GCGCAGCAGGCGCGAAACCUUCGCAAUGCGGGAAACCGCGACGAGGGGACUCCCAGUGCCUACGCUCAGCGUAGGCUGUUCCCGAGCCUAGAAAGCUCGGGGAGUAAGGGCUGGGUAAGACGGGUGCCAGCCGCCGCGGUAAUACCCGCAGCCCGAGUGGUGGCCACUAUUAUUGGGCCUAAAGCGUCCGUAGCCGGCCCGGUAAAUGCCUGGGUAAAUCGUGAGGCCUAACCUCACGAAUUCCGGGUAGACUGCCGGGCUAGGGACCGGAGGAGGGAGAGGGUACUCCAGGGGUAGGGGUGAAAUCCUGUAAUCCCUGGAGGACCACCGGUGGCGAAGGCGCUCUCCUAGGACGGGUCCGACGGUGAGGGACGAAAGCCAGGGGAGCGAACCGGAUUAGAUACCCGUGUAGU
rnacentral:rRNA from 1 species